rnacentral:rRNA from 1 species
AGAGUUGAUCAUGGCUCAGGAUGAACGCAGCGAUAGGCCUAACACAUGCAAGCGAGGGCAGCACAUGAGUAGCAAUACGAUGGUGGCGACCGGCGCACGGGUGAGUAACACGUAUGCAACCUACCUUAACAGGGGAAUAACCGUUGAAAACGGACUAAUACUCCAUAACACAGGGGUCCCGCAUGGGAAUAUUUGUUAAAGAUUUAAUCGGUUGAAGAUGGGCAUGCGUUCCAUUAGCUUGUGGUGAGGUAACGGCUCACCAAGGCCACGAUGGAUAGGGGAACUGAGAGGUUUAUCCCCCACACUGGAACUGAGACACGGUCCAGACUCCUACGGGAGGCAGCAGUGAGGAAUAUUGGUCAAUGGAGGCAACUCUGAACCAGCCAAGUCGCGUUGAAGGAUGAAGGUCUUAUGGAUUGUAAACUUCUUUUUGCAAGGGAAUAAAGUGGGGGACGUGUCCCUUACCUUUCCCGUCGUAGUGUACCCUUUGCGAAUAAGGAUCGGCUAACUCCGUGCCAGCCGCCGC